GACGAACGCUGGCGGCGUGCCUAAUACAUGCAAGUCGAACGCAGUGGGGACGGGUGAGUUAAACGUGGGUAACCUCCCAUCAGAGGGGAUAACAAUUGGCAAAAGGUGAUAAACCGAUCCUGAUGGAUGGAAACGGGGGGGAUUAGCUAGUUGGUGAGGUAACGGCUCACCAAGGCGACGAGGCAUAGCCGACCUGAGAGGGUGACCAGCCACAUUGGGACUGAGCCACGGCCCAGACUCCUACGGGAGGCAGCAGUAGGGAAUCUUCGGCAAUGGACGAAAGCCUGACCGAGCAAUGCCGCGUGAGUGAAGAAGGUUUUCGGAUCGUAAAACUCUGUUGUUAGAGAAGCGGUAUCUAACCAGAAAGCCACGGCUAACUACGUGCCAGCAGCCGCGGUAAUAC
rnacentral:rRNA from 1 species